UUAAAACCUUAAAUUCUUGAAAUAACCUGCCUCUCAGGAAUCAUAGGUCCCAAAGAAUUGUAAAGCUUUCCCUUAAGCUGUGGAAUGGCUCCAUUGCUAACUAUGAUUACUUAAGUCUCAGAAUAGAAGGAUGUAAUAAAUCUGACAGUAUUUGUUCUGGUUUGUGACUAAGCAAAACUGUAUAAUAUUAAAUCAGAUGUUGUUAUAAACAUAUGAAAUGGCACAUUUUUUUCCAACUUGGGGCAUUGUGGCAUGAAGCAUCCCCCCAAAAAUGUUUUUGCAUUCUUGGAUACCAGCUCUGGUUUCUGCUAGAUUUCCUUCUUUCUGAGCAUGGAUGCUAAAUAACAGUGCUUCUUUUUAGCCAUCUGUAUUUCCUGUGAGUUAGCAGGGCUGAGGAGACCUAUUCUCAUUUCUUUGUGUGCUUCUCUAUGGGGUGGAACUGGAGACUCAGGCAGAGCGUGUGGAUUUCUGUGUGUGUGUGUGUGUCUGUAUGUGUGUCAGGUGGAGGAAUGAAUGGCAUCCUAACACCCUGGAAUGUUUGGGUUGGAAAGGCUCUUGGAUACAAACUAGUUAACUCACCUCCUCAUUACCCAGGUCAUAUUUUUAAGCUUAGGUCCAAAUGUGUGGGAGAGAGAAUGCUGGAAAGAUCUGGAGGUUGGAAGGUUGGAAGGAGUUUUGAAAUGGGAGGGAAUUCAGCCAUUGCUUUCACUCCUCUUCCCGCCUGAGUCCUCAACAAAAGGGACAUUUCCCCUUCUUUUAAAGACUUCCUGAUAAAAGGAGUCUUCAUGGACACCCCCAUAAGCAUAAGGCAGCACAAGGGAGGGAGCUCCGGUGGUGGCGGAGUUGGGACACUCAGGCACAUGGUUGCAGAGGCGCAAAGGUGUGACCGUUCUAGGUGUAUCUUCCACAGGGCCCUCGUGGAAGGGACCAACUGCAUCCCCUAAAACUGCCAGGGCAGCUUCCCAUGAUGCUGGGCUGAGUCCAGAUUUCUAGAUUUGGCUGGUGCAAGCUCCUGGUUUGCUAGAAAAUUGCUGAUGAAAUAGGAGGGUUGUCAGGCCAUGGGACAAAUCUGCCGCUGUCCUCAGGGGUCACCCUGCCUGGCUUUGUGUGCUGACAGUCAUGACCCUUUGGACGUCUGCAUGUUUGUCUCUGGGUGAGUGGCUGUGUUGGCAUUUAGUUUUCAUUUGCUAUAUGAUGAGCAAAGAACCACAAAGAAGUCCUAAACACACCUGGUGCUAAAAAGUGAUUACCCUUGCCCUUGUUUUAGGACUUACAGCUACUUUUUCUUUCUGUAGCUUCCAAAUAUUUUAUUUUUUAUAAUUAAGAAAGUAAAUUUAUAUUAAAUUUCUUUUCUGAGACAGAGUCUCGCUCUGUCACCCAGGCUGGAGUGCUAUGGUGCAAUCUCAGUUCACUGCAACCUCCGCCUCCAGGACUCAAGCCAUCCUCCCACCUCAGCCUCAUGAGUAGCUGGGACCCAGCUCUGCCUGGCUAAAUUUUGUAUUUUUUGUGGAGAUGAGGUUUUUUAUGUUGCGCAGGCUGUUCUUGAACUCCUGGGCUCAAGUGAUCCACGUGUCUUGGCCUCCCAAAAUGCUGUGGGAUUACAGUUUUGAACCACUGUGCCCAGCCUAUGUUAAAAUUAAUUUUUCCAUUUAAAAUGUCGUUAAUUAAAAUUCAUAAAAUUUAUAUCAAAAUCAUAGCCUAGAAUCUCUGCAUAUGUAAGAAUCACUUUUUAAAAAGAUGAUUUAGGAUGUUGAUAGCAUCUUAUGAAUUGUUUAGAGCUGCACUGUCUGACAUGGUAGCCAUUAACCACGUGUGGUCAUCGAGUGCUUGACACGUGGCCAGUAGAAAUUAAGAUGCGCUGUGUAUGUAAAAUACACACCCAAUUUCAAAAACUCAGUACAAGU
rnacentral:lncRNA from 10 species